AACCAAGCAACACUAGUUAACACCAAUCCACCAUGAAGACCUUCCUCGUCUUUGCCCUCCUCGCCGUUGCGGCGACAAGUGCAAUUGCGCAGAUGGAGACUAGAUGCAUCCCUGGUUUGGAGAGACCAUGGCAGCAGCAACCAUUACCACCACAACAGACAUUUCCACAACAACCACUAUUUUCACAACAACAACAACAACAACUAUUUCCUCAACAACCAUCAUUUUCGCAGCAACAACCACCAUUUUGGCAGCAACAACCACCAUUUUCUCAGCAACAACCAAUUCUACCACAGCAACCACCAUUUUCGCAGCAACAACAACUAGUUCUACCGCAACAACCACCAUUUUCACAGCAACAACAACCAGUUUUACCUCCACAACAAUCACCUUUUCCACAACAACAACAACAACACCAACAGCUGGUGCAACAACAAAUCCCUGUUGUUCAGCCAUCCAUUUUGCAGCAGCUAAACCCAUGCAAGGUAUUCCUCCAGCAGCAGUGCAGCCCUGUGGCAAUGCCACAACGUCUUGCUAGGUCGCAAAUGUUGCAGCAGAGCAGUUGCCAUGUGAUGCAACAACAAUGUUGCCAGCAGUUGCCGCAAAUCCCCCAGCAAUCCCGCUAUGAGGCAAUCCGUGCUAUCAUCUACUCCAUCAUCCUGCAAGAACAACAACAGGUUCAGGGUUCCAUCCAAUCUCAGCAGCAGCAACCCCAACAGUUGGGCCAAUGUGUUUCCCAACCCCAACAGCAGUCGCAGCAGCAACUCGGGCAACAACCUCAACAACAACAAUUGGCACAGGGUACCUUUUUGCAGCCACACCAGAUAGCUCAGCUUGAGGUGAUGACUUCCAUUGCGCUCCGUAUCCUGCCAACGAUGUGCAGUGUUAAUGUGCCGUUGUACAGAACCACCACUAGUGUGCCAUUCGGCGUUGGCACCGGAGUUGGUGCCUACUGAUAAGGAAAGAUCUCUAGUAAUAUAUAAUUGGGUCACCGUUGUUUAGUCGAUGGAUAUGUCGAUGCAGCGGUGACAAAUAAAGUGUCACACAAUGUCAUGUGUGACCCGCCCAAACUAGUUGUUUAAAUUCUGAAAUAAAAUAAAAAUAAAGUUGUAUCAAGACAAUGUUCAUAUUGGCAUUGUGUGGAUGUCAAUCUGAUUGCCAUGCUUGCAAGUUCAUAAGUUUGUCUUUCCUUGUCACAAGCGCAACCUGGUGCCUUAAUUAAUUAUCAAUGUACUGGAAUAAUCACUAUUUAAAUAUAAUAGUGUCACUGUAAAAUUUGGGUUGAACUCUUUAUUGGUUGGAGAUUUGAGAUCUUGUUUUUUAUUGGUUUGUAUCUAGUACCAACUAGUACCACUGUCUACAGUGACAAUCACAACCAGUUUUGUUGCUAAUUAUGUUUGCUUUCUUGCAAAUACAUUCAUUGAUUCUUUGCAUGUCAAAUUAUUUGCCGAGAAAAAUACCAGCUUUUUCUUGAACUUCACAAACACCACUAGCUAGUUAAUUUGAAAUAAGCUGCCAAUUUAUUUCCUUGUAUUUAUGCCCUUUACAUCGAACCAGUACAAUCAUUGUGCUAGCUAGAGAAAAGGAGUUGCUGGCACGUUCAUGUCUAGAACUAAAUCAGACUGAAUUGAACUUGUUCUUUACAACUAGCUAGGAGCAGAAAACUUACUGUGAAUUGCACUUGAUUAUAUUUGAUUUUGUUUAAGAGCUACAGGGAAAAAUCAUCAAAAAAUGCCCUAAAAUAUCUUAUCGUAAAAUAGGUUCACCAGGAGAUACAGUCGCAAGAAAAAAAAGGCUCACCAGGAGAUAGAUGCUGCACAUUAUCAUUUAGAAAUUAGACCAAGAGAAAUGUGGAUUUGGCGGCUCAUAAUUCUAUAAGACUAUAACAGGUUGUCCAAUCAUUUAGAAAUUAGAUCAAGAAAAUGUGGAACUAAACAUAUUAAUGGCUAGGAUCAUAUUUGCACUGUGGGAACUUGGUAUGCGCGCUCCAACAUGCCCGUUGAAAGCAUUUUUUCCUCUGAUGCACAUAUGAAAUAUGACUGGUCGAAAACAGAAGAAACAGUGAGAUAAUAUGGAUGCUUGGAUGUUGUAACAAACAUAAACUUAUUAUAUAUAUAUCCAAUCCACCGAGCGGACGAACAUCCUAGGAGCUUUUCUCUCGGAGAUCGAAAAGAAACGAAAUGUCCACGCCAACUGCUUCUUCUCCAUCUGUAUAACGCGUGUAGGAGAAUUAUUUUGAUGAUUAUUUGAAGUGGCAUCCACAUAGAGUACAAAGCUAUUCAGCUAGAAAAGCCACAAAUGUACAUCACUUUUAGCCUACAUGACUGAACUCUGCUCCAUGACCUUCUUGAUUCAUGCGGCUCCUGAAUUCAUGUGAAUCGAAUCGCGGAAGAGAUAGGCUUUCAGGGUCAAUACCUCAUGUUCAUGGGAAGGCCGGAGAGGCUGCGUCGAUGUGCAGCCUGAACCCGAGGAGGAGCUCCGUGUCGGUGUCAAAACCGGCGGAUCUCGGGUAGGGGUCCCGAAUUGUGCGUCUAGGAUCGAUGGUAACAGGAGACGGGGGACACGAUGUUUACCCAGGUUCGGGCCCUCUCUAUGGAGGUAAUACCCUACUUCCUGCUUGAUUGAUCUUGAUGAAUAUGGGUGUUACAAGAGUUGAUCUACCAUGAGAUCGUAAUGGCUAAACCCUAGAAGUCUAGCCUAUGUGUAUACGGUAAUGAAUGUCCCCUAUCCGGACUAUGCUCUCCGGUUUAUAUAAACACCGGAGAGAUCUAGGGUUACAUGGAGUCGGUUACAUAAGAAGGAAUCUUCACAGCUGGUCACCUAGCUUGCGUUCCACGCCAAGGGAAGUCCAAUCCGUACACGGGUGUAGUCUUCGGCCUUCGUAUCUUCACAGCCCAUCAGUCCGGCCCAAUGAAUAAUAGGCCGGACGCCCGAGGACCCCUUAGUCCAGGACUCCCUCAGUAGCCCCUGAACCUGGCUUCAAUGACGAGGAGUCUGGCGCGCAGAUUGUCUUCGGCAUUGCAAGGUGGGUUCCCUCCUUCCGAAUUCCGGAAUAGUCUUCGGAUGCAGUAGAUAUAUUUGGACCUGUGUAUAUAAUUGCAAAAAAUACAAUAUUCCACGAGUCUAAUUUGUUGAUAACUGUUUACAACAUCGCAUCACGCCUGCCCGGUUACUAUUUCCAACCGUUGGCUGGCACGUCGCCCCACGUCUCGGGACGCGGUUUUACUGGCACGUCUUGCCAAGGCAGAGAUCGUGUUCCCUUAUUCACGGGACUUUCAUUAAUGCAAGCGUGGGUAACCCAACCGUCCCCUGGGUACAACUCUCUGGGGAUAGGUAAGUUUCGAGACCCAGGUGGAUACCCUUAGUAUUUGGGGUCUUUAUAUAGGGCCCCAGACUCGUCUUCUUCCUUUGCGCUUGCUUCUUCCUCAACCCUAGCCACCCCAAGUUCCAACCCUCGGGUUCCCAUCGCCACCAGCCCUAAUCAUGUCCGAAUCCAGCCGUCAAGGCCGGUGGGUGGCUUCUUCUAUCACAGAGGAGGAUAUUGCAAAGCUCUGCGCAGUGAGGUAUCUGACCCCGGAAAUCCUUCAUCAGCUUCCUGCACAGGGGCAGGUCGUUCCUACCCCCAAAUCCGGCGAGAGGGUAGUGUUUGUGUCCCACUUCCUCCAUGGGUUAGGUUUCGCGCUUAACCCCUUCGUCCGGGGGCUCAUGUUCUACUAUGGGCUAGACUUUCACGAUCUAGCCCCGGACUCUAUUCUUCUCAUCUCGACAUUUAUCGUCACGUGUGAGGCCUUCCUUCGGACUCCUCCGCACUUUGGUUUGUGGCUCAAGACCUUUGAUGUGAGGCCGCAGGUGACAGAGGAGGAGCAGGCAGAGUGUGGCAGCGUCACAAUAGGCAAGCUUGCCAGCGCGGUUUGGUUUGAAGGAUCUUUCACCAAGUCUUCCGACCUAUGGCAGCACGGGUGGUUUUAUAUCAACGAGCCGCGGGGCUCCAAGUGGGAGGCUACGCCUGCGUUCCGACCCGGCCCUCCAAUUCAGCUCGCUUCAUGGAUCAAUAAGGGACUGGACUGGGGAUCCGUCAAUGAAAUGCAGACUCUGCAAGGUCGCAUCCGAAGCCUUACCAAGAAGGGCAUCGGUCUUGUGAACGUCGUUCAAGUAAUGCUAGUCCGCCGGACCCUGCCAUGUCAGCGGCGGCCUCUCCGUAUGUGGGAGUUUAAUUCAGAAGGGCAGCGGCCUCUUCAGCACUUCUUCGGCACCACGCACGAAGGAAUGUGGAAAUUAUAUUUCGGGGAACGAGAGCAAUGGCCGGACACCACCGAAGAUGUCGGCCUUGACUGCAAUCAUCCAGACACCGCGGUAAGUACUCAAACGCUGAACACAUUCAAGCAUCUCUUGACAACAUACUGAACAAUCCGUCCCUAUACAGGACUGGAUAAAGAAAGCAGUGUUAAUCUGGUGUCCGGCGCCCCUUCCCGAAGACUCUGCGACCGCCCUGCUGACGAGAAUGCUGAUUCCCACACCGUACCAGGUUUCUGCGGAGGAGGGCGAGAGCGGGGAACCCGAAGGUGAUACCCGCCCUGAGGACGAAUUAGACAUUGUGUUCGGGGAAACCGAAACUCUUUUGCCCAAGGGCAAAGGUGCGGAGGAAGCUCUCCAUGGCAAAAAGAGGGCUGCUUCCGAAGAUCAGGAGGGGAAGCCUUCCAAGAGAGGAAAAAUGCCAUCGUCGGGCAGUUUGGGCCGGCCAAGCGAUGCUGCCGUAAGGCUUUCUGGCGAGGACGAACCUCUGGCCAAACCGUAAGUGAGGCUGGGGCACUUUAAACAUACCUCAUUCUUUUCCUAUUAGUGAAGUAAUCAUCCGACAUAUGCACAUCCACGUAGGUUAACGCCUGGUGUUUCUCAAUCAUCCUCCUCCUCGGGAGACCUUCUUCCGGAGAUGAUGGAGAGUGACACGCCAUCUCCGGCUUCUUCGCGCAACAGGGGGGAUGAUACCGAGGUAUCGUCCCGAAGGGCUCCUCCCCAUCGUCAAGCGGUGCAGGAAACGGAGAAGGCGUUACCCGAAGGUGGUGCCUCUGUCACCCAGGGUUCGGGAAUCAAGAAUGACGGCCCCGAACCAUCCGGUUUACAGCCGGAGAUGAUUCUGGGGGAGAAUAAGCAGAUUAAUUCAAAGGAAUGCCGUACUCCGGCGGCGGUUUCCGAAGACCCCGGAGCGCCGGAAAUGUUGACGGACAUGCUGCGGCGAGCGUCCAUUUCAGAGAAGCACCAUGCCUUGAUGGUUACGGUGGUCGAAAAGGUUCUAUCCGCGAAAAGCGGAUUGAACGAGGCCUUCUGGAGCCUUCUAAGAGGUUUUGAGGUUUGUGAUGUAGUUUUGCCAAUUGAAUGAUUUUGACAGAAUGCACUUGUUGUAUAUGCAGUAGCCCCUGAGACUCGGAUUGCCUUCCGAAGGAAGCGAUCGGAGGAUAAAAAAGAUAUGCUCAGUUACUAACCUUGAAUCAACUUGGAAUACAGGCUGCCUCGCCUCCUGCGGCUACCCGAAAUACGGAAGUGGCCGAACUGCAGCGAAAGCUGAAUAUUGCAGAAGAUGACAUUGCAUUGAUCAACAAGCGUCUUGACGACUCGCAAGGUAUAUAGUUCGAGCAUUCCUUACACGAAUGUUCUUGUAAUGUAGGCCUGACGCCGAAAAGGGUUUAAUGUGCAUGAUUGCAGAUGGUGUUCCCUCCGUUGAAGCUCCUUGUGAGGAGCUAGCCCGGCCCAAGGAGCAGGCCCGGUGUAGUGAUGCGGCUGCCGAGAAGGCAUCGGCUGAUCUAAGAGCCGAAUAAGCAGCUCGGCGCCGAAGUGAGGAGAAAAUAUCCGCACUGGCGCUUGAAUUGAAGAAUACUGCCAGCCACUGUGAAUUCCUUGAGAAGGAGAAUAAAGCCAAAAUGGCUGAACUUGAUAAGGCCGUUCGAGAGGCGAGUGAAGCUCGGUCUGAAUCUAGGGCAGCUUGGGAAGAGAUUCGGCAGGCUAAGGAGAUAGCGGCCGGUAAGCCCUUUUUGCUUCAGACUAAGUUUGGCGAUCCGGACUAUGCUCAGCUAAACCAGGUCUGGAGUUCUCCGACUGAAUUUUUGGACUUGCCGAAGAGUUCUUCCAAUGCAGCGCAAUUUUACCAAGCGCAAGAGGGGUAUGCGAUGGAGAAGCUUUUCUGGUCACAAUUUGGCGCCUCAAAGCGCCCUCUGUUGCUAAAUGAACAGAUGUCCCAGUGGGCCGAGCUUCAUAGGAUAUCCGGCGACGCCAUGAAGAACGUCAUAAUCCGGUUGUGGCCGAGUGAGCCUGUUCCCAAGAGCUAUUUUGGCCUGGUGCGGCGUCUUGUUGAUGCUGUGCCGCGUAUCGAUGCUGCGAAGCGGUCGGCAUGCACUGAGGGUGCACGGAUGGCCUUUGCCCGAGUCAAGACGUUCUGGGGGAAGAUGAAGGCCAUCGAUGUUGCGGCGAAGGGUCCGCCCAAGGGCAAGGACCGUAAUGAGCCGGAGCAUUAUUUUGAAGACGUCCUAGAAGCCGCCCGCCUGAUAGAGGGUCAAUGCUCGAAGAACAUAAUGUUCGAGUGAGGUGUAUUAGAAUUGUAAAAGACAAUUUUAUGAUUGAUCUAUUUUAUAUUUUUGCUCCAAAGCUUGAAUUCCUCCUCUGCGGCCGUUUUAAUAUAAUAUGAAAGUUUUCCAGUCGUCGGCUUCAGCCCCCUCGUAGGAAGUACGGGGGUGUUCGAAAAAACAUUUAAUCACUCUUUGUCCAAUGUCUUGGUCCGUAAAGGAGGUGAUAAUGCAGCGAACCAGGCAAUCGGACUAUAAGGCGUUAACACUUUCACUUAGCCAUAGGAGUUUUAUGGUGGGGCUACGACAUUGCCCCUGGUGUGUAUGCGGCGUAUAAUGCCUUGCAUAUUUGAUCUGAAAAAGAUCCCUCGUAUGACACGGAGAAUCGCUAAGGAUUCCAAGAAGUCGUCAAGUGGUUAAUCAGCUCUCGCCGCAUCAUGACAGUCAGUUUUCGGCUUUCUCUACUGAGGUGCUCGUCCGGUUUAGAACAGGGCACAAUCGCAGUAGUUCUCCCUUUACUACCCUAGCCGAUAGAGCGGAACGUAGGGUAGCAAGCACAGGAGCCGGGCAACCCAACUAUUGACCCAAGACAAUGAUUCGGAGCUGAUGCAUAUAAGGCCAAACUUGCGACGCCCAAGUACGCUAUAGAGUUGUUGGGACUUUUGCUGGCAACUCUUUCGUUCCCAUACCGAGCCCCUGGCAGGGUAUGCCGAGGUGUAUCUGUAACGCAGCCAUUGAGGCCGUACUCAUUGUUGCAAGAGUAUGAAAGAUUAGUUCGGACGAGGUUUACUGGGAACGGAGCAAUAUGCCAAUGACGAAUUUAAAAAUAAUAAAAAAGAAACCACAAGCCCGGCUAUUUGACAUGCUCGGGGUCGGGUACAGAGGAAAAAAAGGCUUAAUACAGGCUCGGAAUAAAGAGUGUGGUCUACAAAAAGUUAUUUUGGACCUCCUGUCGCACGUCUGCGCCGCCCGUCCUCGGGGAGGGGAAUCCUUAAGGGAAGUAGCCCCUUAGGUGAGUGUACGGAUCCGAACUCCGAUAGAGUCCGUUGUAGAUGCUGUCAUGUUGGUCACCUGUUCUUAAGAAAUGAUACAGAAAAAUAAGAAAAACGGAUAAGAACGUUACAGGGAUUCUUGCAGGCUUGUCCAUAUUGUGCUUCCGCCGAUGCCCAUGGUAUCUUGAGUGCGUAGUGAUGUAUGCGUGGUGUGAAUCUCGCCGGUAUGGUAGGUGGGUGGCGGAUGCCGAACUGCUAUUUCUGUUCCGAGAGUGGUCGAACUUCGGAGGGAAACUGCUUCUGGCCCCUGAUAUUCGGCUGGCGAAACGCUCCGUUGUCUUUAUCGCCUGGUGGCCUCCUCCCCUUGCUAUCGGCGUUGAGCUUGCCUGCCUGCUUGAGGACCCAACAAUUUCUGUUAGUAUGGUUAGCUGGCUUAUCAGGAUGACCAUGAAUCUGACAAGGUCGGUCCAAUAUUCUGUCAAGGGUGGAUGAUCCAUCCUGGUUUGCCUUUAGUGGCUUCUUCCAUUGACCGGGUUUCGAAUUGUGAAAUUCGGCGUUGACCGCUGUGUCGCGUAAUCCUUCAGUAUUAUUGCGACUGUUGUGUUCGGUUCGUCGAGGCUUACCGUUGCCGUCUUGAAUUUCGGAAGUGCCCGGGUCACUGGCGUUGUUGCUCUUACGAGCGAGCCAGGUGUCUUCUCCCGCACAAAAGCGAGUCAUCAGAGCGGUAAGGGCUAUCAUGGAUUUGGGUCCUUCCUGGCCGAGGUGACGCGCUAGCCAUUCAUCCCGGAUGCCAUGUUUGAAGGCUGCGAGGGCUUCUGCGUCCGGACAGUCGACAAUAUGUUUUUUUUUUUGACUAAGAACCUAGUCCAGAGCUCCCUGGCGGACUCGCCGGGCUUCUGGACAAUAUGACCAAAGUCAUCAGCAUCUAGUGGCCGGACAUAUGUUCCCUGGAAGUUGUCUCGAAAGGCGUCUUCCAAGUCUUCCCAGCUACCAAUAGAAUUUUCUGGUAAACUGUUUAGCCAGUACCGGGCUAGCCCUUUAAGCUUGAGAGGUAUGUAUUUAAUGGCAUGAAGGUCGUCUCCGCGAGCCAUGUGGAUAUAUAUGGAGGAGGUAAUCCUCAAUCCAUACCGCGGGAUCUGUUGUUCCAUCGUAUGAUUCGAUAUUAAUGGGUUUAAACCCGUCUGGAAAUUCAUGCUCCAUUACCUCGUCGGUGAAGCAAAGAGGGUGUGCGGCUCCUCUAUGUUGAGCCACACUAUGAAGCACCUCCGGCGGACUCUGUUUACGGAGUUCGGAUCGAGCGUGGUCGGCUCUGUUGUGUCCGAAUAGGUGACCAUCAUUACGGUCGGGGCAUGUCCCCGCGAUCUGUGUAUUGACUUCGUGUGUCAUGUUCUACCCUCCAGGUCCUUGGAUGUCGCGAGUGUUCCCCCGAGCUGUGUUGUUCUUGUUUUGAUGGCCGGAUGGGUUGGUAUGAUGCUCUGCUUGGGCUACUGCUUUGUCCGGACCGAACUGUGGUCGGCCUACAUCCUUAUUCGAUGGUGGUGUGGGCUUCAACGCCCUGCCAUCGUAUUGAGGGGGCCACCUGCUGUUGGGGUGGCUCUUGUCUGGGCCAAUAAGGCCGUAUUGUUCGGCGGCCAAGACCUCGGUCCAUCUAUCAUUGAGCAAAUCUUGGCUCGCUUUAAGCUGCAGCUGCUUCUUUCUUAGGCUCCUUGCAGUGGCUAUGAGCUGGCGUUUAAAGUGCUCCUGCUCGAGAGGUUCCUUAGGCACGAUAAAAUCCUUGUUGUCGAGGAUCUCCUCUUCCUCGGAGAGUGGGAGAUAAUUGCUAUCCUCUGAGUCUCCAUAUGUUACCUGUUCAUCAGGGUUGUCUUGCCCGCCUUCCUGUUCCUCCUGUUCGGAUCCUACCUCAACAGGGUCUUCAUCGUCCGGAGUGUUGUCUUCUCCGGUGCAAGUGUUAUUUUCUCUUGAGCGUCGUGACUUGGAGCGGCGCAAGGCGCGCCGGUGUUCGGACUAUGCACCAGGAGGCUUAUCCUCAAUUGGAUCCUCCUUGUCAUCGUCGAAAGCAUCGUUGGGUGUGUCUAUCAUACACACGUCAUACCAUGAAGUGGUCAUCCCGCGUCUAGCGGGUAGUGAGUUCUGGCCUUGCCCCUCAUCGUCGUCCGUACCGUCGAUGUCUUCAGGGCCGAGGUCAAGCGUGUUGGUUGGGUCUUCGACAGUGGCUAUGAAGUGGGUGGUGGGUGGGAAGCAAAAUUCUCCAUCAUCAGCCGUAAGUUCGAGCCGAACAUAGUUCAGUGGCGAGUCGCCUACCAGAGAUAGGUUUUUUAGUGAGUUUAGUACAUCGCCCAUGGGCGAGUGUUGGAAGACGUCUGCGGCGCUGAACUUGAAGAUCGAUAACCGAUCGAGUUCGGCAUCUGCAGACUCGCAAGGUUCGGAACCUGUCGCCGGGGACGAAUCCGGGGUUCCGCUGAUGCGGAUAUCAUACGCAGUAGAAUCUGUGUGCGGCUCGAACGCCGCCGAAUCGGUAGCCCUCGUGAUGGGGUUGAGCUUCCCAUCCCGGGACGACUUGAUCUGCUCCGGAUCUAAGGCCAGAGUUGCUGUAGGAGCUAUCUCCUCGAUGCGGCCCAAUGACAGGUUUAAGCCAUGUCCAUCGAGGCGGCGGGAGCGAUUGCCGCGGUCUUGAAUCCGUCGAAGAUCAAGUCUCCACGGACGUCCCCAACGUAGUUCAAGCUUCCGAAUCUGACCUGAUGGCCAGGGGCGUAGCUGUCGAUCUGCUCCAGAUGGCCAAGCGAGUUGGCCCGCAGUACGAUGCCACCGAACACGAAGAUCUGUCCGGGGAAAAAGGUUUCUCCCUGGACAACGUCACCAUCGACGAUUGAAGGGGCCAUCGAACCUUUUGUCGACGGCACAGUGGAACUCUCAAUGAAAGCACCAAUGUCGGUGUCAAAACCGGCGGAUCUCGGGUAGGGGGUCCCGAACUGUGCUUCUAGGAUCGAUGGUAACAGGAGACGGGGGACACGAUGUUUACCCAGGUUCCGGCCCUCUCUAUGGAGGUAAUACCCUACUUCCUGCUCUAUUGAUCUUGAUGAAUAUGAGUGUUACAAGAGUUGAUCUACCACGAGAUCGUAAUGGCUAAACCCUAGAAGUCUAGCCUAUGUGUAUAUGGUAAUGAAUGUCCCCUAUCCGGACUAUGCUCUCCGGUUUAUAUAGACACCGGAGAGAUCUAGAGUUACAUGGAGUCGGUUACAUAAGAAGGAAUCUUCACAGCUGGUCGCCUAGCUUGCCUUCCACGCCAAGGAAAGUCCAAUCCGGACACGGGUGUAGUCUUCGGCCUUCGUAUCUUCACAGCCCAUCAGUCCGGCCCAAUGAAUAACAGGCCGGACGCCCGAGGACCCCUUAGUCCAGGACUCCCUCACUCGGAGACCUUCUUGUGGGGACCAUCUACGAGAGGAAGUAAAGAGGGAGAUCAGAAGAGGAUACAUGAGAGGUUAGGGUGGGGAGGAGGCUGCGCCGGCGAGCGGCCACGGCUCAAGGCGGUCCGGCCGACGAGGAGGACGAACAAGGGAGAGGAAGAUGCAGAUCGGCAAACUGUGGGUUGGGCUUAUGACGUUGGGUUCUCACAAAACUAUAGCCCAUUUCGAAUUUGGUGCCCGUGACGACACACACACAACGCUUAUGUUGGGCCUAAUCACUCACUUCCAGCCCCCAACUCUGAUUUCCCCCUCAAAGAAAAACAAAACUUCAACCCUUCUCACUCCCCAUGAUCACAACAACAACAACAGAAAUAUCUAUAUGCAAGAUCAGGAAAUAUCUAUAAGGGGCAUUCAGAACACAUGUGACCUAAUCGCUAUAACAGCUUGAUAUUAUGGUGGGAUAGACAUAAACUGGUUCACGAAGGAAAGUUUCAUGAUGCAAACCAAAAUUCAAGGGGAGCACGUGCUAUAAUGGCAAACUAUGUUAAUGCCUACUCCCCUAAAGCAACUAGUAAAACAGGGGGAUGGAGUAUCCCUUCUAGGGUUUUUGUGAAGCUGAAUAUUGAUGUAUCUUUUCAUCAUGGUCUGCUUCAGGGUACAUCGGGGGUUAUUCUUAGACAUUACAAAGGCAGGCUCAUUGUCGGUGGAAACUGGAGGAUAGAUUGUCGUGCGGAUGUAUUAGCAGCAGAAGUUGUGGUGCUAAAGUUUGGGUUAUUCCUUGCACAGAAGGCGGAUUGCAAUCGUCUUGUUGUUAACUCGUACAGUACAUAAGUGAUUGACACAAUAAAGAAUGGAUGACACUCGACCGGAGCGGCGGUUGUAGUUUUCUAUGAUUGUUAAUUUUUGGGCUUGUGAUUUUUCUUUUAUUAGAUUUGAACUUUGUAAUAGGGAAGUAAAUAAGAUGGCAAAUGAAAUUGCUAGGCCAGCGAAAUUUUUUGUCACUAGUGAUUGGUUUGAGGAGUGAAUGAGAUUGUGCCUUUUUUAUUGACAAUGUAACAGUUGUUUCUAAUAAAUAAAGUUGAAGUUUUAUUGAAAAGGACAACAACAAGAAAAAAUAUCCUCAUCUUGUCCCAAGGGAUCUGAAACCCCAGUAUCCUUGCAUCUUUCUUUUGCAUGGCAUGUACAUAAGAUUUUCUUUGUUAGUAGCAUGUGUUGUUGGCGGUGGCGGCAUGAUGUUAGAGGUGACAUGUGUGGACGGAUGAUUGUUUCGACUCCAUUUAUUCUUAGGGCCUGUACAAUGCUAGGUGUUCAGCGAAGUGCUUAGAAAAAUAAACUGAGUUUUUAAAGCAUUUUUUAAGCACCGAUGUCUAUUUCUAAUGAUGAGAGACACCUAAUUAGACGUUUACCCUAUACAAAUAAACGUCGAUGCUUUAAGAAAUACUGAUUUAUUUAUCUAACAACCUUUCUUACGCACCUUACAUGGUAAGGUUCGAGAGCUAGUGGCGUCUUGGUUUCUCUUGUUUCUGUCACAUCAAUAUCAUGCUUUGGAUAUAUUCCAGUGCCCUUUUAUUGAUCACUGCCUAUGGCCAUUGAAAUGAGAUCUGGGACUCGGCCAGCUGCAAGAUACCUCUAGAAAGCGAAUUUCCUCUGACGCACAUAUGAAAUAUGACAGUACAAAAUAGAACAAACACUAAGAUUAGACAGAUGAUUGGAUGAUGUAACUAACUUAGACAUCGCUGCACCCAGGACGGACUUUCUUCUCAGACAUCAGAGAGAAACUGAGUGUCCAUGCUGUCAGAGACGCUGGCCAUUGGGCGUUGUCAGUGACUUUAGUCUCGCCUCGGAUAUGGGAGGGGCUAGAACCACCUUAUAAGGAGGAGUGCCACACUCCCUUCAGGCUAGUCUUUUGCGAUGUGGUGGACUCUUUGCUUAUAGUGGUGUGUCUGAUGCACACCGGAAACGUCCGAACAUAUGCCGAAGGUUGGGAGCCGGGCCUGGGACGCUAACAAUUGGUAUCAUAGCUGGGCCCCAGUCUGCCCUGUUUUAGGGGGAUGAGGUGUCAGAGACGCUGGCCAUUGGGCGUUGCCAGUGACUUUAGUCCCACCUCGAAUAUGGGAGGGGGCUAGGACCACCUUAUAAGGAGGAGUGCCACACUUCCUUCAGGCUAGUCUUUUGGGAUGUGAUGGACUCUUUGCUUAUAGUGGUGUGUCCGAUGCGCACCGAAAAUGUUCGAACAUAUGCCAGAGGUUGGGAGCUGGGCCUGGAACGCUAACACAUGCCAACUGCUUCUCCUCCACUCCACCUGCAUAGCACGCAUAGGAGGAAAUUUGAUGAUUAUUUGAAGUGAUAUCCACAUAAAGCACAGAGUUACUCAGCUAGCAAAGCACCUAUGUACAUCACUGUAUGGCUACCCAACUGAAAAUUCUGCUUCCUGACCCUCCUGAUUCAUGCGGGUGGCAUGGAGAUGGGUACGCCUCUCGAAUCCAUGUGAAUCGAAUCGUUGGAACAGAUGGACGGACAGGGUCGAUACCUUGUGUAGAUGGGGAGGGGAGGCCGGAGUGGCUGCCGUCGACCGACGUACGGCCCGCAGCCGACGGAGGAGCUUCAAAAGUGACCUUUUUGUCGAGCGAUGGCGGUGGUGGUGGGGUGCCGGAUGCGGAGGGUGGUGGGAAGCCGGAUGCGGAGGGUGGAAGGAAGGCUGACGCCUCCGUCGCCGCGGACGUACGAGGAGCGGCCGCGAGCGGUGGGGUCCGGGAGAGGCUGCGCCGGCGAGCGGUCCGGCCGGCGAGGAGGACGGGGAAGGGGAGACGAAGACGACGCAGAUCGGCGGAGUGUGGGCUGGGCUUGUGACGUUGGGGCCUCCGAAAACUAUAUCCCAGUUCGAAUUUGGUGCCCUAACACACAACUCUUACGUUGGGCCUAAUCACUCCCUCCUGGCUCCAUCUAUCAUUCCCCAAAAAAAAUCCUUCACACAUAGAUGGAACUGAUGAUUCUCAAAAGAAAAAGAGAUGGAACUGAUUGUGUCAUGUCUUAAAAAAAAGAUCGAACUGAUUGUCUAAAAAAAACAUAGAUGGAACUGAUGAUUUAUCUCCGAAAAAAAGAUGGAACUGAUGAUGACGUGUCUAGAGUUAGGACCGGAUAUAUGUUAGUAGGAGUAGCUUGUAAGAAAUUACCAUCCUUUACAUAUAACGGGAAUUCGAUGAGUCAUGUCAUGCUCUAGAGGCGUCAGUUCAUCUUAUCAUCUUAGAGGAAACUACAAAGUUAUUUUUAUGAAAAGCAACCAACUCUAGAAGAACCCUCCACACGCAAGGCUUUAAUAAUCGAGCAUAUCUUAACAGCCCACACACGAUUGCAAACUUAGUCCUACACAAGCUUUGCCUUUCUUCUUUACGGCUGACAGCCUAUACAAGGUUUCAAACUCGGUUGCAAAAGUGAUACUAUCCUGAUAAGUGUGUGACAUGUAAAGUGAAUAAGGUGAGUCAUAUAUAGCAAACAUCGGGGUUUCUGUACUUUGUGUGUGAUCAUAUGCACAAUUAAAAAGCAACUUUGAUGAUCAAUCCAAAAGUACGCGUGUAGCUAGUGCAACCUAACGCAUUGUACCAAAAAUCAUUUCAGAUGCAUCCAAACGGAAUAAUUAAAGCUAAUGCAAAGAAGAAAAGAGGUGGUGCCCAGGCUACUAUAAAUAGGCAUGAAGUAUAAAGAUCAUCACAAGCACAAGCAUCAAAACCAAGCAACACUAGUUAACACUAAUCCACCAUGAAGACCUUCCUCAUCUUUGCCCUCCUCGCCGUUGCGGCAACAAGUGCCAUUGCACAAAUGGAGAAUAGCCACAUCCCUGGUUUGGAGAAACCAUCGCAGCAACAACCAUUACCACUGCAACAAACAUUAUCGCACCAACAACAACAACAACCUGUCCAACAACAACCACAACCAUUUCCACAACAGCAACCAUGUUCACAGCAACAACAACCACCAUUAUCGCAGCAACAACAACCACCAUUUUCACAACAACAACCACCAUUUUCGCAGCAACAACAACCAUCAUUUUCGCAGCAACAACAACCACCAUUUUCACAGCAACAACCACCAUUUUCGCAGCAACAACAACCAGUUCUACCGCAACAACCAUCAUUUUCGCAGCAACAACUACCACCAUUUUCACAGCAACAACCACCGUUUUCGCAACAACAACAACCAGUACUACCGCAACAACCACCAUUUUCGCAACAACAACAACCAAUUCUACCGCAACAACCACCAUUUUCGCAACAACAACAACAACCAGUUCUACCGCAACAACAAAUACUAUUUGUUCAUCCAUCUAUCUUGCAGCAGCUAAACCCAUGCAAGGUAUUCCUCCAGCAGCAAUGCAGCCCUGUGGCAAUGCCACAAAGUCUUGCUAGGUCGCAAAUGUUGCAGCAGAGCAGUUGCCAUGUGAUGCAACAACAAUGUUGCCAGCAGUUGCUGCAAAUCCCCCAGCAAUCCCGCUAUGAGGCAAUCCGUGCUAUCAUCUACUCCAUCAUCCUGCAAGAACAACAACAGGUUCAGGGUUCCAUCCAAACUCAGCAGCAGCAACCCCAAGAGUUGGGCCAAUGUGUUUCCCAACCCCAACAGCAGUCGCAGCAGCAACUCGGGCAACAACCUCAACAACAACAAUUGGCACAGGGUACCUUUUUGCAGCCACACCAGAUAGCUCAGCUUGAGGUGAUGACUUCCAUUGCGCUCCGUACCCUACCAACGAUGUGCCGUGUCAAUGUGCCGUUGUAUAGAACCACCACUAGUGUGCCAUUCGGCGUUGGCGCCGGAGUUGGUGCCUACUGAUAAGGAAAGGUCUCUAGUAAUAUAUAGUUGGAUCACCGUUGUUUAGUCGAUGGAUAUGUCGAUGCAGCGGUGACAAAUAAAGUGUCACACAACGUCGUGUGUGACCCGCCCAAACUAGUUGUUUAAAUUCUGAAAUAAAAUACAAAUAAAGUUGUAUCAAGACAAUGUUCAUAUUGGCAUUGUGUGGAUGUCCAUAUGAUUGCCAUGCUUGCAAGUUCAUAAGUUUGUCUUUCCUGGUCACAAGCGCAACCUGGUGCCUUAAUUAAUUAUGCAUGUAUUGGAAUAAUUACUAUUUAAAUAUAAUAGUGUUACUGUAAAAUUUGGGUUGAACUCUUUAUCGGUUGGAGAUUUGAGAUCUUGUUUUUUAUUGGUUUGUAUCUAGUUCCAACUACUACCAUUGUCUAUAGUGACAAUCACAACCAGUUUUAUCGUUAAUCAUGUUUGCUUUCU
rnacentral:lncRNA from 1 species